GUGGGAGGCAGGGUAGUACAGAAACACCCAGAGCACAGCAGAUGUAAUGUAUCUAAAAUUCUCAGUCACUGCUGGAGGACAUGUAAACUGGUUAACCACUUUGGAAAACUCAUUAUCUACUCAAGUUGAAAGAAUGUAACCCACAUACAUACUAACAAAAGCUGUUACCAUCUGAUCAAUCUGGUUACAUCACCAACUUCCCAGCUACUCCGAGUCUUGCAGAAUUAAUGAAACACUUUGAGUUAACUUUUUAGAACUCCUUUAUUGAGAAAAGGCUAUAUUGACUUCCGUUUACAAUGUCAGGAAUGCUUCGGUGAAAAGCAGGAUAAGAGGGGUCCAAUACACAGGGUCCUCAGACUGCUACACGCUGGCUCACUCAGCUUUUCAGCUACAUCAGGGCUCCUAAGUCACAGAAAGUGUGCACCAAACUCAGACACACAGAGAAAUGUGAUAAUGACCUGGGAGAGAAGAGCAAUGCUAAGCUACCUGCCAGAAGAGUUGUGUCUGAGGCAUGCCAUACCUCAAGGUAAUUUCGUUGUCUCCAAUUAGUUCUUGCCAUAUGGCUAAUAUUUCGAAAAUUCCCUCUUUAAAUCAACCAGGCUUUUUAAAAGAAUGGCUAGAAACCUGAUCGUUUUUAAUUUUGC